GUUAAGCGACUAAGCGUACACGGUGGAUGCCCUGGCAGUCAGAGGCGAUGAAGGACGUGCUAAUCUGCGAUAAGCGUCGGUAAGGUGAUAUGAACCGUUAUAACCGGCGAUUUCCGAAUGGGGAAACCCAGUGUGAUUCGUCACACUAUCAUUAACUGAAUCCAUAGGUUAAUGAGGCGAACCGGGGGAACUGAAACAUCUAAGUACCCCGAGGAAAAGAAAUCAACCGAGAUUCCCCCAGUAGCGGCGAGCGAACGGGGAGCAGCCCAGAGCCUGAAUCAGUGUGUGUGUUAGUGGAAGCGUCUGGAAAGGCGCGCGAUACAGGGUGACAGCCCCGUACACAAAAAUGCACAUGCUGUGAGCUCGAUGAGUAGGGCGGGACACGUGGUAUCCUGUCUGAAUAUGGGGGGACCAUCCUCCAAGGCUAAAUACUCCUGACUGACCGAUAGUGAACCAGUACCGUGAGGGAAAGGCGAAAAGAACCCCGGCGAGGGGAGUGAAAAAGAACCUGAAACCGUGUACGUACAAGCAGUGGGAGCACAGAGCAAUCUGUGUGACUGCGUACCUUUUGUAUAAUGGGUCAGCGACUUAUAUUCUGUAGCAAGGUUAACCGAAUAGGGGAGCCGAAGGGAAACCGAGUCUUAACUGGGCGUUAAGUUGCAGGGUAUAGACCCGAAACCCGGUGAUCUAGCCAUGGGCAGGUUGAAGGUUGGGUAACACUAACUGGAGGACCGAACCGACUAAUGUUGAAAAAUUAGCGGAUGACUUGUGGCUGGGGGUGAAAGGCCAAUCAAACCGGGAGAUAGCUGGUUCUCCCCGAAAGCUAUUUAGGUAGCGCCUCGUGAAUUCAUCUCCGGGGGUAGAGCACUGUUUCGGCAAGGGGGUCAUCCCGACUUACCAACCCGAUGCAAACUGCGAAUACCGGAGAAUGUUAUCACGGGAGACACACGGCGGGUGCUAACGUCCGUCGUGAAGAGGGAAACAACCCAGACCGCCAGCUAAGGUCCCAAAGUCAUGGUUAAGUGGGAAACGAUGUGGGAAGGCCCAGACAGCCAGGAUGUUGGCUUAGAAGCAGCCAUCAUUUAAAGAAAGCGUAAUAGCUCACUGGUCGAGUCGGCCUGCGCGGAAGAUGUAACGGGGCUAAACCAUGCACCGAAGCUGCGGCAGCGACACUGUGUGUUGUUGGGUAGGGGAGCGUUCUGUAAGCCUGCGAAGGUGUGCUGUGAGGCAUGCUGGAGGUAUCAGAAGUGCGAAUGCUGACAUAAGUAACGAUAAAGCGGGUGAAAAGCCCGCUCGCCGGAAGACCAAGGGUUCCUGUCCAACGUUAAUCGGGGCAGGGUGAGUCGACCCCUAAGGCGAGGCCGAAAGGCGUAGUCGAUGGGAAACAGGUUAAUAUUCCUGUACUUGGUGUUACUGCGAAGGGGGGACGGAGAAGGCUAUGUUGGCCGGGCGACGGUUGUCCCGGUUUAAGCGUGUAGGCUGGUUUUCCAGGCAAAUCCGGAAAAUCAAGGCUGAGGCGUGAUGACGAGGCACUACGGUGCUGAAGCAACAAAUGCCCUGCUUCCAGGAAAAGCCUCUAAGCAUCAGGUAACAUCAAAUCGUACCCCAAACCGACACAGGUGGUCAGGUAGAGAAUACCAAGGCGCUUGAGAGAACUCGGGUGAAGGAACUAGGCAAAAUGGUGCCGUAACUUCGGGAGAAGGCACGCUGAUAUGUAGGUGAAGUCCCUCGCGGAUGGAGCUGAAAUCAGUCGAAGAUACCAGCUGGCUGCAACUGUUUAUUAAAAACACAGCACUGUGCAAACACGAAAGUGGACGUAUACGGUGUGACGCCUGCCCGGUGCCGGAAGGUUAAUUGAUGGGGUCAGCGCAAGCGAAGCUCUUGAUCGAAGCCCCGGUAAACGGCGGCCGUAACUAUAACGGUCCUAAGGUAGCGAAAUUCCUUGUCGGGUAAGUUCCGACCUGCACGAAUGGCGUAAUGAUGGCCAGGCUGUCUCCACCCGAGACUCAGUGAAAUUGAACUCGCUGUGAAGAUGCAGUGUACCCGCGGCAAGACGGAAAGACCCCGUGAACCUUUACUAUAGCUUGACACUGAACAUUGAGCCUUGAUGUGUAGGAUAGGUGGGAGGCUUUGAAGUGUGGACGCCAGUCUGCAUGGAGCCGACCUUGAAAUACCACCCUUUAAUGUUUGAUGUUCUAACGUUGACCCGUGAUCCGGGUUGCGGACAGUGUCUGGUGGGUAGUUUGACUGGGGCGGUCUCCUCCUAAAGAGUAACGGAGGAGCACGAAGGUUGGCUAAUCCUGGUCGGACAUCAGGAGGUUAGUGCAAUGGCAUAAGCCAGCUUGACUGCGAGCGUGACGGCGCGAGCAGGUGCGAAAGCAGGUCAUAGUGAUCCGGUGGUUCUGAAUGGAAGGGCCAUCGCUCAACGGAUAAAAGGUACUCCGGGGAUAACAGGCUGAUACCGCCCAAGAGUUCAUAUCGACGGCGGUGUUUGGCACCUCGAUGUCGGCUCAUCACAUCCUGGGGCUGAAGUAGGUCCCAAGGGUAUGGCUGUUCGCCAUUUAAAGUGGUACGCGAGCUGGGUUUAGAACGUCGUGAGACAGUUCGGUCCCUAUCUGCCGUGGGCGCUGGAGAACUGAGGGGGGCUGCUCCUAGUACGAGAGGACCGGAGUGGACGCAUCACUGGUGUUCGGGUUGUCAUGCCAAUGGCACUGCCCGGUAGCUAAAUGCGGAAGAGAUAAGUGCUGAAAGCAUCUAAGCACGAAACUUGCCCCGAGAUGAGUUCUCCCUGACCCUUUAAGGGUCCU
rnacentral:rRNA from 1 species